rnacentral:tRNA from 1 species
GGAGAGGUGUCCGAGUGGCUUAUGGUACCGCUCUCGAAAAGCGGUUCCCGAUUUUAUCGGGACGCGGGUUCAAAUCCCGCCCUCUCCG